rnacentral:rRNA from 1 species
CUAGCCUGCAGUCGACGAUUCCUACGGGAGGCAGCAGUGGGGAAUUUUCCGCAAUGCGCGAAAGCCUGACGGAGCAACGCCGCGUGAGGGAGGAAGGUCUUUGGAUUGUAAACCUCUUUUCUCAAGGAAGAAGUUCUGACGGUACUUGAGGAAUCAGCCUCGGCUAACUCCGUGCCAGCAGCCGCGGUAAUACGGGGGAGGCAAGCGUUAUCCGGAAUUAUUGGGCGUAAAGCGUCCGCAGGUGGUCAGCCAAGUCUGCUGUCAAAUCAGGUUGCUUAACGACCUAAAGGCGGUGGAAACUGGCAGACUAGAGAGCAGUAGGGGUAGCAGGAAUUCCCAGUGUAGCGGUGAAAUGCGUAGAGAUUGGGAAGAACAUCGGUGGCGAAAGCGUGCUACUGGGCUGUAUCUGACACUCAGGGACGAAAGCUAGGGGAGCGAAAGGGAUUAGAUACCCCUGUAGUCCUAGCCGUAAACGAUGGAUACUAGGCGUGGCUUGUAUCGACCCGAGCCGUGCCGAAGCUAACGCGUUAAGUAUCCCGCCUGGGGAGUACGCACGCAAGUGUGAAACUCAAAGGAAU